GACGAACGGUGCGAACGUUGUUCGGAUUCACUGGGCUUAAAGGGCGCGUAGGCGGCUUGCCAAGUCAGGGGUGAAAUCUUUCGGCUCAACCGGAAAAGUGCUUCUGAUACUGGCGGGCUGGAGGAGGGUAGGGGCAGAUGGAACUUCCGGUGGAGCGGUGAAAUGCGUAGAUAUCGGAAGGAACGCCGGUGGCGAAAGCGAUCUGCUGGACCCUUUCUGACGCUGAGGCGCGAAAGCCAGGGGAGCAAACGGG
rnacentral:rRNA from 1 species